rnacentral:rRNA from 1 species
GACGAACGCUGGCGGCGUGCUUAACACAUGCAAGUCGAACGGAAAGGCCCUGCUUUUGUGGGGUGCUCGAGUGGCGAACGGGUGAGUAACACGUGAGUAACCUGCCCUUGACUUUGGGAUAACUUCAGGAAACUGGGGCUAAUACCGGAUAGGAGCUCCUGCUGCAUGGUGGGGGUUGGAAAGUUUCGGCGGUUGGGGAUGGACUCGCGGCUUAUCAGCUUGUUGGUGGGGUAGUGGCUUACCAAGGCUUUGACGGGUAGCCGGCCUGAGAGGGUGGCCGGCGACAUUGGGACUGAGAUACGGCCCAGACUCCUACGGGAGGCAGCAGUGGGGAAUAUUGCACAAUGGGCGGAAGCCUGAUGCAGCAACGCCGCGUGCGGGAUGACGGCCUUCGGGUUGUAAACCGCUUUCGCCUGUGACGAAGCGUGAGUGACGGUAAUGGGUAAAGAAGCACCGGCUAACUACGUG